rnacentral:rRNA from 1 species
GACGAACGCUGGCGGCGUGCUUAACACAUGCAAGUCGAGCGGAGCGGCGAACGGGUGAGGAACACGUAAGUAACUGCCCCCCUCUCUGGGAUAACAGUUGGAACCGGCUGCUAAUACCGGAUAGUGGGGGAUGACUAGCUUCCUAUCGUCUUGUGGGUGGGGUAGUGGCCUACCAAGGGGACGACGGGUAGCCUGCCUGAGAGGGGGACCGGCCACAGUGGGCUUAGAGACGGACCAAAAGCCUACGGGAGGCAGUAGUGGGGAAUAUUGCACAAUGGGGGAAACCCUGAGGCAGCAACGCCGCGUGCGGGAUGACGGCCUUCGGGUUGUAAACCGCUUUCAGCCAUGACGCGGUAGUGGCAGAAAAAGCACCGGCUAACUACGUGCCAGCAGCCGCGGUAAUAC